rnacentral:rRNA from 1 species
GGCGGACGGGUGAGUAAUGCUUAGGAAUCUGCCCAGUAGUGGGGGAUAGCCCGGGGAAACCCGGAUUAAUACCGCAUACGCCCUUUGGGGGAAAGCAGGGGAUCUUCGGACCUUGCGCUAUUGGAUGUGCCUAUGUCGGAUUAGCUAGUUGGUGGGGUAAGAGCCUACCAAGGCGACGAUCCGUAGCUGGUCUGAGAGGAUGAUCAGCCACAUCGGGACUGAGACACGGCCCGAACUCCUACGGGAGGCAGCAGUGG